GACGAACGCUGGCGGCGUGCUUAACACAUGCAAGUCGAGCGGUAAGGCCCUUUCGGGGGUACACGAGCGGCGAACGGGUGAGUAACACGUGGGUGACCUGCCCUCAGCUCUGGGAUAAGCCUGGGAAACCGGGUCUAAUACUGGAUAUGACUCCAUGACGCAUGUUGUGGGGUGGAAAGCCUUGUGCGGCUGAGGAUGGGCCCGCGGCCUAUCAGCUUGUUGGUGGGGGAUGGCCUACCAAGGCGACGACGGGUAGCCGGCCUGAGAGGGCGACCGGCCACACUGGGACUGAGACACGGCCCAGACUCCUACGGGAGGGCAGCAGUGGGGAAUCUUGCGCAAUGGGCGAAAGCCUGACGCAGCGACGCCGCGUGA
rnacentral:rRNA from 1 species